rnacentral:rRNA from 1 species
CACGUAGGGUGCGAGCGUUGUCCGGAAUUAUUGGGCGUAAAGGGUGCGUAGGCGGCAUGAUAAGUUAUUGGCGGCAAAUCGAGGCUCAACCUCGUGGAAACUAAUAAUACUGUCUUGCUUGAGUGCAGAAGAGGUUAACGGAACUCCAUGUGGAGCGGUAAAAUGUGUAGAUAUAUGGAAGAACAUCAAUAACGGCGAAGGCAGUUAACUAUUCUGUUACUGACGUUGAGGCACGAAAGCGUGGGGAGCAAAAAGG